rnacentral:rRNA from 1 species
GUAGGGAAUAUUGGGCAAUGGAAGGAAUUCUGACCCAGCCAUGCCGCGUGCAGGAAUACAGUCCUAUGGACUUUAAACUGCUUUUAUUAUAGAGUAACCUGGGGGACGUGUCCCCCACUGCAAGUAUAUAAUGAAUAAGCAUCGGCUAACUCCGUGCCAGCAGCCGCGGUAAUACGGGGGAUGCAAGCGUUAUCCGGAUUUAUUGGGUUUAAAGGGUGCGCAGGCUGAUCGGUAAGUCAUGGGUGAAAAGUCACUGCUUAACAGUGAUCGUGCCUAUGAUACUGCCUGACUAGAGUUUAAGAGGUGUAACUGGAAUGUGAUGUGUAGCGGUGAAAUGCUUAGAUAUGUCACAGAACGCCAAUCGUGAAGACAGGUUACAAACUUAAUACUGACGCUCAUGCACGAAAGCGUGGGGAUCAAACAGGAUUAGAAACCCCUGUAGUCC